AGGUUUUGACCAUGGCCAUGGCUGUGGCCGUGGCUGUGGCCAAGAUUCCGUGCCUAGAACCACCAGGCACUCACCUCCCAUUGCUCUGGUUUGGGAAGGUGAAACCCAGGCCCUGACAGGU